CGACGUGUCCGCCUCCAUACUCGAUGCGCAUCGCAAGAGGUCAAAUCCGUCCUUGGCGCCAACACGCCGCCCCUUGUGUCUUGUCCAUGAAUCUGCGCCUCUCAUGCUUGCGCACCUGCGCGCUGCGCUCGCCACUGCCCGCCACUUCGCUUUCUUCGUUUUUUUUUUUUUCAAAGCACUUCCCUCUUUUCAGUCGGUGCCGUGCGAAGCAGCGGCACUCACUUUCGCUGUCGCCUGUCUUUACGCCUCAUGGCGCCAUCGGUGGUGAGGGAAAGUCGUUGUUUGUUGCUUUAGAGGAAACAGCGGCUGCGUUCACAGUGGUGGUCGCGCGUUUCCCUUCCUCCACGUAGAAUGCAAAACACACAUCCGAAGAGCACGGGGGCGUUGCUGCUACAGGAGAGGCAUGCCUUCCACAGCAGCGAAAGUUCGCUUCAACGCGAGCCGCAUGCGUGAGCACCUUCUCGGCGACACCAGUGAAAGUGGUAGGAGUGAGAGCUCGCAUUCUCCCUCACUGGAGGCGACGCUGCCGCCGCCCCAUCUCGUGCGCGACCCGUGCUAUGGCGUGUGUCUGGUCUGGCGGCCUGUGGAGGAGCCGCCGCUGCCCCGAUGCAUCCACACAGCGAGUCAGGCUCUUGAAGGAGAUGCGGAGGCAACGGGCUACAGAGAUGAGCCUUUAGCAUGUGCGGCAGCGCGCAGAGACGCUACCACCAGCACGGCCGCGACUGCUUUGCAGCUGAGGAGCCCGCCGGUAAAGGCACAGUCCCCACGCAAGACGAUCCGGGCUCGCGAAUCGCCGCCGCGCGGUCAACUUCUUCGCCGCGGCAAAGGUGGAAUCGAUGAAGUGCUGAGGAAUGCCCGUGAGGCACAGCGUCUCUUCUACACUCUGCAAGAGCACCGACUCCAGGCGGAGUAUCGCCGUUCGCAGGGCAGCCUCCGGCAAGAGAUGGAUCAGCAGCGGCAGUACAAGUGCAUGGUUCAGCUGGCCGAGUAUCAGGCGGAGCUUGUGAACAUAUUCGGUCACACCAUGCAAGACGCCGUUGCAGAUUCCUUCUUCGACGACGGAAGUGACUCUGUCCUUGCAGCUCUGCAAAGAAAGAGGGGCGAGGCCCCGAGCACACGUAGCGCUUUUUAUUCGGCGAUGCACCGGGGCCACUGCUCAGUAGCAGGGUCGCUCGGCGUUGGGGCGCGCCGAGGCAGCGCAGAGAGAGCUUUACCGCCGGCUGCCUCCACUCGCGAAAGCAGCGUUGCACAAGAACGGCACGCGUUUCAGCGGGCGCUCGAGGAAGUGCGAGGCGGGCGACGGUGCGCCUACUAACGGCUCUUCUCUGUGCUCGAUUUCGUCUUUCUCUGUUCGUCCGUGCAGCGGCGACACUGGGCGAGCGGCGGUGAAGAUAUACUCUGCUGGGGGUGCGGUUUUGCACGCGUGCGUGCCUGUCUGCCUUUUCCGUACCGUACAGUACGCGUUUAG
rnacentral:misc_RNA from 1 species